CUAGCCAAAGAUGGUCUUCAUUCCCCGCCCCCACAAUUCUUUCUGCCUUCCCAGGAACUAUAUCGGGUUCAUAAUUGGCUCUUUCUAUGUCCUUCCCACACUGGGGGCCCCUAGGGGACUGAGACCCCAGGCUCAGCCUUCAUCCCUGCAGUCCAAGGUACAUAGGAGAGGCUGGAUGCAUGACUGCUAAGCACAUGCAUGGGAUUUUUCAAGACUCCAGGGAAGCCCACCUGCUCCAGGAAGCUCUCCUCUGUGACAGACACAGCAGAUGCUUCCCUCCCCAAAUUUGAAUGAUCUGACCCUCUGAUCGAUCCCCUUUUCUUGAGGCUAGAACUGUACCCUGAAUAGAGCCCAUGGGGUGACACCUUGUCUUCCCAUUUCUCAGAGUCUUCCUUGUCCUGCAGCCCAGACCACAGUGCAGAGAAGCCACAGGAGGACACAGUGAGAAUCUGUACACAUGUCUCUUCCCCAGAAUUUACUUGCUCUUGCACUCCUAGAUGGAGACAUGCAUACUCCCUAUGCCCAGUCCUUCAGGGGCUCCCCAAACUGUCCUGAUAUAGACUGUUCCCUCUCUUGAAGGCUGGCACCCCCAGAUCCCAAGUUCUUCCCAUCUCACAGUGAAGGAAACUGAGGCUAGAAAAGGUUCAGUGCUUCCCAGGAGCUUACAGCAGAAGAAAGCAAAGCCAAGAUUGGACCUGAGGACGGUGGGAAUUAAAGUCGGCAGCUGUCCCUCUUGUUCCACCCCAGGGGAGCUAUGGCUUGAAACAAUCACUUGGAAGACAGCGGCUGGAGGAGAGGAGAAGGAGAGUGAGCACUGAAUAGAGAGCAGCCAGGGAGGGGCUCCCACUCGCCCAAGAAGUUUAUCAAAGAGUCAGGGCUGAGUUUCCCCAGGCACUUCAGAGGCCCCUAGGUCACAUGUGUUUCCUAGAACUGUCCCCCUCCACCAGCCCAGGCACUGGCCUUGGUAAAGCGCCCUCUGUAGAUGGAGGCUCAGGCUGCCUAAGGGCCCCAGAACAAGCCAGGGAGUAGGUGCGGAGCUGGGCAGGUUAGGAGUGAAGGCGGAGGGUGUUGCCCGAG
rnacentral:lncRNA from 1 species